AGUGAACGCUGACGGUAGGCCUAACACAUGCAAGUCGAACGGCAGCACAGUAAGAGCUUGCUCUUACGGGUGGCGAGUGGCGGACGGGUGAGGAGUACAUCGGAAUCUACUUUUUCGUGGGGGCUAACGUAGGGAAACUUACGCUAAUACCGCAUACGACCUACGGGUGAAAGCAGGGGAUCUUCGGACCUUGCGCGAUUGAAUGAGCCGAUGUCGGAUUAGCUAGUUGGCGGGGUAAAGGCCCACCAAGGCGACGAUCCGUAGCUGGUCUGAGAGGAUGAUCAGCCACACUGGAACUGAGACACGGUCCAGACUCCUACGGGAGGCAGCAGUGUGGAAUAUUGGACAAAGGGCGCAAGCCUGAUCCAGCCAUACCGCGUGGGUGAAGAAGGCCUUCGGGUUGUAAAGCCCUUUUGUUGGGAAAGAAAAGCAGCAGGUUAAUACCCCGCUGUUCUGACGGUACCCAAAGAAUAAGCACCGGCUAACUUCGUG
rnacentral:rRNA from 1 species